UCAUGCUAAUCAUCGUAGUCAACAUGCCCAGAUGCGACCGUGGCAUAACCUCGGUGAAAACUGAGGAUAAUACCGCUAUAGGUCAUAAUAUCUGGCAAUGAUCUGAUGGUCUUAAAUCUACUAUGGCCUCUGGAUUGGAUCUGCGAGCCGAUCAGGACUGUUGGUGAGGUAAUGGCCCACCAAACCUAAAACCGGUACGGGCUCUGAGAGGAGAAGCCCGGAGAUGGGCACUGAGACAAGGGCCCAGGCCCUAUGGGGCGCAGCAGGCAGCAGAAAACUCUGCAAUAAGCGAAAGCUUGACAGGGUUAUUCUGAGUGAUUUCCGAUAAGGAAAUCUUUUGGUACCUCUAAAAAUGGUACCAGAAUAAGGGGUGGGCAAGCCUGGUGCCAGCAGCCG
rnacentral:rRNA from 1 species